UUUAUACACGAAUUUGGACAUGCUUACGGACCGUAAGCCUUAUCCCUUACGGUCCGUAAGGGGUACGAACCGACUAUAGGGUAGCCACGUUUGGGACUAGGUGUCACACCCCAACCGAUGGCGGAAACAUCGGGAUGAGACGCCUGCUGACUUUAUAGUUUUGUCCAAUCAGAUUUAGACAACGAGUUUCUAUUGAUAAUCAUCAACUAGGGUUUACCCCCCCCCCCUGAGUUUUAGGGGCCCUGAUCCUGAUUCUGUUUGUUAUGAAAAUUUUAGAGAUUGUGUAGAAUUAGUUGGGUGUCUCAACUAGGGUUUCCUAUUGAGUAAAUAAAAAUAGUAGAUAUGACUUUUGGUGAGAAUAGAAUAAUAAAUAAUAGUUUUGGGUAAGUUAAGAAGAGAAUAAAAUAGUGAGAAAAGAGAAUGGACCCACUUUGUAACUUUAGGGUUCAACUAGAAAAUUUCCUGGUAUAAAUUUUGGGUA
rnacentral:lncRNA from 1 species